UGAUUGUGAUGUCGCGGGGUUGUAGCCAGCACCACCCGAAGCAAAAGAGACGCCUGUAAGAAGAUCGUUUGGUUGUAUUUUCGGAUCGAAAUAUGCCGGUACGAUUUCUUUAACUCCAAGAUAUUUGGCUAUUGGUUGCAAGGAAACCAAAAAAAAAAAAAAAUCGAAUUUGUAAUUAAUUGGUUUCCAUAUUUUUCAUUAUGUUUUGAAAGAAAAGGAUGGAGAGAGGGAGAGAGUAGGAACCUAGAUAGUCGGAAGCAACCCUUCCAUUGCUGAAUCUACCAGUAGCGACUCCCAUUUUAAAAUCCAUACCAUAGGGACGAUAGUUGCUUUUCAUCUUUGUGCUUCGGUUAUUGUUAUUUCCGGUGUCGAAGACCGAAUCCCCAAAGAAAAACACGGCCGGUAUGGUUUUGUUCUCUGGCUUUGGUGGGGGUGGAGCAGGUUUUGGCGUUGGGGCUGGCGGUGGUGUUGGGAUUGGUUUCGGAGCUGGGGCAGGUGGUGGCUUAUUCUUUGGAGCUGGUGGCGCUGGCUUUGGUUGAGGUUUAGGCGGUGUUGGUGGGCAUGCUGGUGGUGGCGCUGGCUUUGGUUGAGGUUUAGGUGCUGGUGGUGGGCAUGCAGAUGGGCUAGGUGCUGGUGCUGGUGGUGGGCAUGCAGAUGGGCUAGGUGCUGGUGGUGGCUUGGGUUGAGGCUUCGGUGGUGUUGGUGGGCAUGGAGAUGGUCCUGGUGGUGGGACAGGUUUUGGUGAUGGACCAGGUGGUGGGGAAGGCUUUGGUGCUGGUGGUGCCAUUGGCCACGGCUGCGGAUAAGGCCUUGGCCAAUAUGGCCAAGGCCAGAGCCGUCUGUGCAUGACUUG
rnacentral:lncRNA from 1 species